UUUUCUCAAAUUCUUUCCUUUCAAUUUCCCUCCAUUCGUUAGAGGGAGCCAAAAUGACCCUAUGGCUAAACUUGGUACUCCUUCUUGCAUCCCUUGGAGGUGUCCAAUCUGAGGCUCACCUGGUGGAGUCUGGAGGGGAUGUGAGAAGACCUGGGGAGUCCCUCCGUCUCUCCUGCCAAGCUUCUGGAUUCACCUUCAGAAGCUAUUACAUGCAAUGGGUGAGACAGACUCCAGGGAAAGGCCUGGAAUGGGUGGCCUACAUUAAUCCAGGCUCAUCAUACAUUUCCUACUCAGACAAAGUCAAGGGACGCUUCACCAUCUCCAGGGACGAUGCCAAAAGCCAGCUGUAUCUGCAAAUGAAUAGCCUCAAACCAGAGGACACAGCUGUCUAUUACUGUGCAGGAGAUACACAGUGA